UUAACAACAAAAGUAUAGAUAACCCCUCCCCCCUCCCAAAAUGGUUUGUUCCAGCUCGCCCCCACUCUGGCUCUAGGGUCGUUGCUGCCAGAGCGAUGGUAGCUGAGACGCAGCGGAGCGGAGAUGGAGUGCCUGGAUUAAAACGGGACAUAUUAGCAGCAUUUAACCUUCAGUUACUCUUUAUGUAGUUAGAUAGGAGUCAUGUUUCUUUUUAGCUGAAAAACAUUACACCAGAGAGACAGCCAGGUUCAUAAUGGAUAUAAGGAA